rnacentral:rRNA from 1 species
CCGCCUGGGGAGUACGGCCGCAAGGUUAAAACUCAAAUGAAUUGACGGGGGCCCGCACAAGCGGUGGAGCAUGUGGUUUAAUUCGAUGCAACGCGAAGAACCUUACCUACUCUUGACAUCCAGAGAAUUUGCUAGAGAUAGCUUAGUGCCUUCGGGAACUCUGAGACAGGUGCUGCAUGGCUGUCGUCAGCUCGUGUUGUGAAAUGUUGGGUUAAGUCCCGCAACGAGCGCAACCCUUAUCCUUUGUUGCCAGCGAGUAAUGUCGGGAACUCAAAGGAGACUGCCGGUGAUAAACCGGAGGAAGGUGGGGAUGACGUCAAGUCAUCAUGGCCCUUACGAGUAGGGCUACACACGUGCUACAAUGGCAUAUACAAAGAGAAGCGAACUCGCGAGAGCAAGCGGACCUCAUAAAGUAUGUCGUAGUCCGGAUUGGAGUCUGCAACUCGACUCCAUGAAGUCGGAAUCGCUAGUAAUCGUAGAUCAGAAUGCUACGGUGAAUACGUUCCCGGGCCUUGUACACACCGCCCGUCACACCAUGGGAGU